UGUACGGGAAGGAUGAGAAGCUUCGACCAAGGUUCGAUUCGAGCGCAGCGAGAAAGCGUUGCCGCAGGCAACGACCCGAAGGGCGAAGCGCGCAGCGCUGAGUCAUCCUUCCCCCACCACCA
rnacentral:sRNA from 1 species